GAGGAGGAAGGGAGGCCGCCGCUACCGAGCUCUAUUGGUCCUUCAGCUGUCGCAUCUCUGACGGCUGGAUCCCUCGGCUUAGAACCGGAGGGGUCAGUCGCGGCCUGCAGCGGUCCGCGUCCAGAGAUGUCCUUCAAGCAAGCAUGAUUGUCUAGGCAAAACAGUGCCAUCAGGAGUCUUGCCAAUUUCCCCUGGGGACACAGACUCAGGCAAGGGAAAAGAAAAGGAGGAGAGACAUCUAUACUCAGUGGAAAAAAGGAAGAACACACCUGCGGAGCGCUUCAGACAAAGGGACCCAUAAGGAAAUAGGAGGGGAGGCUCUGCUUCCAGUGUGUGCUGCUUGAUUAUAAAAUAAAUCCAUUUCCGGAGGACAUACCAAAAACU